AGUACCAUCCAAGCAUCCAUUUGCAAGCAUUUGUGGUGACUAAAAUAUAAUUAAAUAUGACUGAUCCUUCACAAAUGCCACAAUUCUACCAAUUUUUCAACAAUUCCCUUCUCCUGGGACAAAGUGGGCCGAAACUAACAGCUCAGGUAUACAACCUAACUACACAGGGAAGUUCCAGUCAACUG